CCUACGGGAGGCAGCAGUGGGGAAUAUUGGACAAUGGGCGCAAGCCUGAUCCAGCCAUACCGCGUGGGUGAAGAAGGCCUUCGGGUUGUAAAGCCCUUUUGUUGGGAAAGAAAUCCUGUCGGUUAAUACCCGGCGGGGAUGACGGUACCCAAAGAAUAAGCACCGGCUAACUUCGUGCCAGCAGCCGCGGUAAUACGAAGGGUGCAAGCGUUACUCGGAAUUACUGGGCGUAAAGCGUGCGUAGGUGGUUGUUUAAGUCUGCUGUGAAAGCCCUGGGCUCAACCUGGGAAUUGCAGUGGAUACUGGGCGACUAGAGUCAGGUAGAGGAUAGUGGAAUUUCCGGUGUAGCAGUGAAAUGCGUAGAGAUCGGAAGGAACAUCUGUGGCGAAGGCGACUAUCUGGGCCAUGACUGACACUGAGGCACGAAAGCGUGGGGAGCA
rnacentral:rRNA from 1 species